UGGGGAAUAUUGCACAAUGGGCGCAAGCCUGAUGCAGCGACGCCGCGUGAGGGAUGACGGCCUUCGGGUUGUAAACCUCUUUCAGUAGGGAAGAAGCGAAAGUGACGGUACCUGCAGAAGAAGCGCCGGCUAACUACGUGCCAGCAGCCGCGGUAAUACGUAGGGCGCAAGCGUUAUCCGGAAUCAUUGGGCGUAAAGAGCGCGUAGGCGGCCCUGUAAGUCCGCUGUGAAAGUCAAGGGCUCAACCCUUGGAUGCCGGUGGAUACUGGCAGGCUAGAGUCCGGAAGAGGCGAGUGGAAUUCCUGGUGUAGCGGUGAAAUGCGCAGAUAUCAGGAGGAACACCGAUGGCGAAGGCAGCUCGCUGGGACGGUACUGACGCUGAGGCGCGAAAGCGUGGGGAGCAAACAGGAUUAGAUACC
rnacentral:rRNA from 1 species